AUUGAACGCUGGCGGAAUGCUUUACACAUGCAAGUCGAACGGUAGAGGGGGCAACCCCUUGAGAGUGGCGAACGGGUGAGUAAUAUAUCGGAACGUGCCCAGUCGUGGGGGAUAACGUAGCGAAAGUUACGCUAAUACCGCAUACGAUCUAAGGAUGAAAGCGGGGGAUCGCAAGACCUCGCGCGAUUGGAGCGGCCGAUAUCAGAUUAGGUAGUUGGUGAGGUAAAGGCUCACCAAGCCAACGAUCUGUAGCUGGUCUGAGAGGACGACCAGCCACACUGGAACUGAGACACGGUCCAGACUCCUACGGGAGGCAGCAGUGGGGAAUUUUGGACAAUGGACGCAAGUCUGAUCCAGCCAUUCCGCGUGCAGGACGAAGGCCUUCGGGUUGUAAACUGCUUUGUUACAGAACGAAAAGGUCUCUAUUAAUACUAGGGCGUCAUGACGGUACUGUAAGAAUAAGCACCGGCUAACUACGUGCCAG
rnacentral:rRNA from 1 species